rfam:Xenopus laevis strain J chromosome 2S, whole genome shotgun sequence.
GGGACAGAUGAUGUGACGUUAAUAGCGAUCAAAGCCUGAAAACCUGUGAUUGGAUCUUCAUUAACUGAUGUGCC